CCUACGGGGGGCAGCAGUGGGGAAUAUUGGGCAAUGGGCGAAAGCCUGACGCAGCGACGCCGCGUGAGGGAUGACGGCCUUCGGGUUGUAAACCUCUUUCAGCAGGGAAGAAGCGAAAGUGACGGUACCUGCAGAAGAAGCACCGGCUAACUACGUGCCAGCAGCCGCGGUAAUACGUAGGGUGCGAGCGUUGUCCGGAAUUAUUGGGCGUAAAGAGCUCGUAGGCGGCUUGUCACGUCGGAUGUGAAAACCCGGGGCUCAACCCCGGGCCUGCAUUCGAUACGGGCAGGCUAGAGUUCGGCAGGGGAGACUGGAAUUCCUGGUGUAGCGGUGAAAUGCGCAGAUAUCAGGAGGAACACCGGUGGCGAAGGCGGGUCUCUGGGCCGAUACUGACGCUGAGGAGCGAAAGCGUGGGGAGCGAACAGGAUUAGAUACCC
rnacentral:rRNA from 1 species